GACGAACGCUGGCGGCGUGCUUAACACAUGCAAGUCGAACGGAAAGGCCCUGCUUUUGUGGGGUGCUCGAGUGGCGAACGGGUGGGUAACACGUGAGUAACCUGCCCUUGACUUUGGGAUAACUUCAGGAAACUGGGGCUAAUACCGGAUAGGAGCUCCUGCUGCAUGGUGGGGGUUGGAAAGUUUCGGCGGUUGGGGAUGGACUCGCGGCUUAUCAGCUUGUUGGUGGGGUAGUGGCUUACCAAGGCUUUGACGGGUAGCCGGCCUGAGAGGGUGACCGGCCACAUUGGGACUGAGAUACGGCCCAGACUCCUACGGGAGGCAGCAGUGGGGAAUAUUGCACAAUGGGCGGAAGCCUGAUGCAGCAACGCCGCGUGCGGGAUGACGACCUUCGGGUUGUAAACCGCUUUCGCCUGUGACGAAGCGUGAGUGACGGUAAUGGGUAAAGAAGCACCGGCUAACUACGUG
rnacentral:rRNA from 1 species